UCCUGCUUAUCACAGGCAGUCUGACUAGAGUGCCCAGCAUUACCUGAUGGCAACUAGACACAAGGGUUGCGCUCGUUGCAGGACUUAACCUAACACCUCACGGCACGAGCUGACGACAGCCAUGCAGCACCUGUGUGGCAGCCUCGAAAGCCUCCGCGGUUUCCCGCGGCAUCCAGCCACAUGUCAAACCCAGGUAAGGUUCUUCGCGUUGCAUCGAAUUGAGCCACAUGCUCCACCGCUUGUGCGGGCCCCCGUCAAUUUCUUUGAGUUUUAAUCUUGCGACCGUACUCCCCAGGCGGUGAACUUAUCGCGUUAGCUACGAUACGGAAGGGGAUAAUUCCUCCCACAUCAAGUUCACACCGUUUACAGUCAGGACUAC
rnacentral:misc_RNA from 1 species